rnacentral:rRNA from 1 species
UACGUAGGGGGCAAGCGUUGUCCGGAUUUAUUGGGCGUAAAGAGCGUGUAGGCGGCCAUACAGGUCCGUUGUGAAAACUGGAGGCUCAACCUCCAGACGUCGACGGAAACCGUAUGGCUAGAGUCCGGAAGAGGAGAGUGGAAUUCCUGGUGUAGCGGUGAAAUGCGCAGAUAUCAGGAAGAACACCUAUGGCGAAGGCAGCUCUCUGGGACGGUACUGACGCUGAGACGCGAAAGCGUGGGGAGCGAACAGG